UAGGGAAUCUUCGGCAAUGGGGGCAACCCUGACCGAGCAACGCCGCGUGAGUGAAGAAGGUUUUCGGAUCGUAAAGCUCUGUUGUAAGAGAAGAACGUGUGUGAGAGUGGAAAGUUCACACAGUGACGGUAACUUACCAGAAAGGGACGGCUAACUACGUGCCAGCAGCCGCGGUAAUACGUAGGUCCCGAGCGUUGUCCGGAUUUAUUGGGCGUAAAGCGAGCGCAGGCGGUUUAAUACGUCUGAAGUUAAAGGCAGUGGCUUAACAAUUGUUCGCUUUGGAAAAUGUUAAACUUGAGUGCAGAAGGAGAGAGUGGAAUUCCAUGUGUAGCGGUGAAAUGCGUAGAUAUAUGGAGGAACACCGGUGGCGAAAGCGGCUCUCUGGUCUGUAACUGACGCUGAGGCUCGAAAGCGUGGGGAGCAAACAGG
rnacentral:rRNA from 1 species